rnacentral:rRNA from 1 species
UACGUAGGUGUCGAGCGUUGUCCGGAUUUAUUGGGCGUAAAGAGCCCGCAGGCGGCUUGGCAAGUUUGAGGUGAAAUCUCCCGGCUUAACUGGGAGGGGGCCUCGAAAACUGCCAGGCUUGAGGCAUGGAGAGGGAUGCGGAAUUCCCGGUGUAGUGGUGAAAUGCGUAGAUAUCGGGAGGAACACCAGUGGCGAAGGCGAUCACCUGGGGUUGUUCUGACGCUGAGGAGCGAAAGCUAGGGGAGCAAACGGG